rnacentral:rRNA from 1 species
ACGAACGUUGGCGGCGUGGAUUAGGCAUGCAAGUCGAACGAAUCCCCAGGGGCUUGCUCUUGGGGGAAGUGGCGAAAGGGGCAGUAAGGCGUGGGUAACCUACCCCGGGGACGGGAAUAGCCAUUCUAACGAGUGGGUAAUGCCCGGCGAUGUAGCGGGAAGACAUCUUUUGCUACGAAAUGAAUUCGCCUCGGGAGGGGCUCACGUGGUAUUAGCUAGUUGGUAGGGUAACGGCCUACCAAGGCAAAGAUGCCUAGCGGGUGUGAGAGCACGACCCGCGCCACUGGCACUGUGACACUGGCCAGACACCUACGGGUGGCUGCAGUCGAGGAUCUUCGGCAAUGGGCGCAAGCCUGACCGAGCGACGCCGCGUGCGCGAUGAAGGCCUUCGGGUUGUAAAGCGCUGUCGAGGGGGAGGAAGCCGCAAGGUUGACCUAUCCCUGGAGGAAGGACGGGCUAAGCUUCGUGCCAGCAGCCGCGGUAAGACGAACCGUGCUAACGUUAUUCGGAAUCACUGGGCUUAAAGGGUGCGUAGGCGGUGACAGCAAGUCGGGUGUGAAAUCCUUCGGCUCAACCUGAGAAGUGCCCUGGAUACUGGCUGGUGCUCGAGGAAGAGUAGGGGCAUGCUGGAACUUAUGGUGGAGCGGUGAAAUGCGUUGAUAUCCGAAGGAACAUCCGGUGGCGAAAGCGACGUGCUGGACCUCUUUCUGACGCUGAGGCAGCGAAAGCUAGGGUAGCGAACGGGAUUAGAUACCCGGUAGUCCUAGCCGUAAACGAUGAGCUACUUAGAUUGAGGGACUUAACCAUAGGCUUUCACAGUCCGUAAGCGAAAGUGUUAAGUACUCCGCCUGGGGAGUAUGGUCGCAAGGCUGAAACUCAAAGGAAAUUGACGGGGGCUCACACAAGCGGUGGAGGCAUGUGGCUUAAUUCGAGGCUACGCGAAGAACCUUAUCCUGGAUCUUGACAUAGUGCGAAAGCGUUAGGAUGUAGCUGGCGGAAACGUGGAGCGAACGGUAUCCAUCCGGAACCUAGCUACAGGUGCUGCAUGGCUGUCGUCAGCUCGUGUCGUGAGAUGUCGGCGUUAAGUCCCAUAACGAGCGAAACCCUUGUCUCUAGUUGCCAGCGGGUCAUGCCUGGGGACUCUGGAAGACUGCCGGUGUUAAACCGGAGGAAGGUGGGGACUGACGUCAAGUCCUCAUGGCCUUUAUGUCAGGGCUGCACACGUGCCUACAAUGGCGUGAACAGAGGGACGCAAACCCGCGAGGGGACAGCAAAUCCCAAAAAACACGCCCCAGUUCAGAUUGCAGGCUGCAACCCGCCUGCAUGAAGCCGGAAUCGCUAGUAAUCGCGGAUCAGAAUGCCGCGGUGAAUGUGUUCCUGAGCCUUGUACACACCGCCCGUCAAGCCACGAAAGUGGGGGUAUCCGAAGUCGCCGAUGCAACCGCAAGGAGCUAAGCGCCGAAGAUAAACUCCGCGAUUGGGACU